AGUGAACGCUGGCGGUAGGCCUAACACAUGCAAGUCGAACGGCAGCACAGUAAGAGCUUGCUCUUACGGGUGGCGAGUGGCGGACGGGUGAGGAAUACAUCGGAAUCUACUUUUUCGUGGGGGAUAACGUAGGGAAACUUACGCUAAUACCGCAUACGACCUACGGGUGAAAGCAGGGGAUCUUCGGACCUUGCGCGAUUGAAUGAGCCGAUGUCGGAUUAGCUAGUUGGCGGGGUAAAGGCCCACCAAGGCGACGAUCCGUAGCUGGUCUGAGAGGAUGAUCAGCCACACUGGACCUGAGACACGGUCCAGACUCCUACGGGAGGCCGCAGUGGGGAAUAGUGGACAAUGGGCGCAAGCCUGAUCCAGCCAUACCGCGUGGGUGGAGAUGGCCUUCGGGUUCUAAAGCCCUUUUGUUGGGAAAGAAAAGCAGCAGGUUAAUACCCCGCUGUUCUGACGGUACCCAAAGAAUAGGCACCGGCUAACUUCGUG
rnacentral:rRNA from 1 species